rnacentral:miRNA from 1 species
AUUCUGAUUCACAUGAACUCGU